rnacentral:rRNA from 1 species
GUAGGGCGCAAGCGUUAUCCGGAAUUAUUGGGCGUAAAGAGCUCGUAGGCGGUCUGUCGCGUCUGCUGUGAAAUUCCGAGGCUCAACCUCGGGCUUGCAGUGGGUACGGGCAGACUAGAGUGCGGUAGGGGAGAUUGGAAUUCCUGGUGUAGCGGUGGAAUGCGCAGAUAUCAGGAGGAACACCGAUGGCGAAGGCAGAUCUCUGGGCCGUUACUGACGCUGAGGAGCGAAAGGGUGGGGAGCAAACAGGCUUAGAUACCCUGGUAGUCCACCCCGUAAACGUUGGGAACUAGUUGUGGGGUCCUUUCCACGGAUUCCGUGACGUAGCUAACGCAUUAAGUUCCCCGCCUGGGGAGUACGGCCGCAAGGCUAAAACUCAAAGGAAUUGACGGGGACCCGCACAAGCGGCGGAGCAUGCGGAUUAAUUCGAUGCAACGCGAAGAACCUUACCAAGGCUUGACAUACGCCAGAACGGGCCAGAAAUGGUCAACUCUUUGGACACUGGUGAACAGGUGGUGCAUGGUUGUCGUCAGCUCGUGUCGUGAGAUGUUGGGUUAAGUCCCGCAACGAGCGCAACCCUCGUUCUAUGUUGCCAGCACGUUAUGGUGGGAACUCAUGGGAUACUGCCGGGGUCAACUCGGAGGAAGGUGGGGAUGACGUCAAAUCAUCAUGCCCCUUAUGUCUUGGGCUUCACGCAUGCUACAAUGGCCGGUACAAUGGGCUGCGAUACCGCGAGGUGGAGCGAAUCCCAAAAAGCCGGUC